rnacentral:rRNA from 1 species
UAGUCCACGCCGUAAACGAUGGAUACUAGGUGUUUGGAGUAUUUAACCCUCUGAGUACCAAAGUUCACGCAUUAAGUAUCCCGCCUGGGGACUACGGUCGCAAGGCUAAAACUUAAAGGAAUUGACGGGGGCCCGCACAAGCGGUGGAGUAUGUGGUUUAAUUCGAAGCAACGCGCAGAACCUUACCUGGGUUUACCAUUCAACGCUACCUUCAGAGAUGAAGGGUUCUCCUCGGAGACGUUGGGAUAGGUGCUGCAUGGCUGUCGUCAGCUCGUGUCGUAGGAUGUUGGGUUAAGUCCCGCAACGAGCGCAACCCUUGUCUUUAGUUGCCAUCAUUUAGUUGGGCACUCUAGAGAAACUGCCGGUGACAAACCGGAGGAAGGUAAGGAUGACGUCAAGUCAGCAUGCCCCUUACGCUCUGGGCUACACACGUGCUACAAUGGUCGUGACAAAGAGUUGCUAGUCUGCGAAGGCAAGCCAAUCUCAUAAACGCGGCCUUAGUUCGGAUUGCAGGCUGAAACUCG